rnacentral:rRNA from 1 species
AGGCGCGCAAAUUACCCACUCCCUGUACGGGGAGGUGGUGACGAUAAAUACCGAUGCGGGACUCGUCAUGAGGCUCCGUAAUCGGAAUGAGUGAGAUUUAAAUCCUUUUACGAGGAUCAAUUGGAGGGCAAGUCUGGUGCCAGCAGCCGCGGUAACUCCAGCUCCAAUAGCGUAUAUUAAAGUUGUUGCAGUUAAAAAGCUCGUAGUUGGAUCUCGGUAGCAUUGCUGCCUGCCACUGCUUGGCUGGUUGAGCUUGGGUUAAGUGCUUUGCGCUAGCCUAGUUUGGCCGGUCGAGUUGGCGUGGUGGCGGUGUCACCUUUUAGCCAUGUCUGUGGUGAAAUACCCAUAGGUGUAGGCGGGUGUCAGGCGGUGCUCUGCAACAGUAGGGUCCGUCGGCUCGUUUGCAUGCCUUUGGAUGCCCUUUAAAAGGUGUCUGUUGGCGGAUGGCACGUUUACUUUGAACAAAUUUGAGUGCUCAAACCAGGCCGAUGUUGCCUGAAAAGUUUUGCAUGGAAUAAUGGAAUAGGACUUCGGUUCUAUUUUGUUGGUUUUCGGAUCCGAAGUAAUGAUCAAAAGAGACAGGCGGGGACGUUUGUAUGGUUGCGCUAGAGGUGAAAUUCAUGGACCGUGGCCAGACAAACUAAAGCGAAAGCAUUCGUCAAGCAUGUUUUCAUUGACCAUGAGCGAAAGUCAGAGGCUCGAAGACGAUCAGAUACCGUCCUAGUUCUGACCAUAAACUAUGCCAACUGACGAUCCGUGGUGGUAGUAUUAUAACCUUCCACACGGGCAGUCCCCGGAAAACCUUUAAGUCUUUGGGUUCCGGGGGAAGUAUGGUUGCAAAGCUGAAACUUAAAGGAAUUGACGGAAGGGCACCACCAGGAGUGGAGCCUGCGGCUUAAUUUGACUCAACACGGGAAAACUCACCCGGGCCGGACACUAUGAGGAUUGACAGAUUGACAGCUCUUUCAUGAUUUGGUGGUUGGUGGUGCAUGGCCGUUCUUAGUUGGUGGAGUGAUUUGUCUGGUUAAUUCCGAUAACGAACGAGACUCUAGCCUGCUAAUUAGUGUGCUCGUCCACUGUUCCUGUGCAGGUGGCGUUUCUACGAGUCUGCUCUAUCAAAGUGGUCAGUGUGGAAGCGUGUGUGGCCUUCGGGUUAUGCAUGUGGAAGCCUGUUCGCUGGAGUGGAUGGUUAGGCGUUGCUUCCGGGUGCGGCGCGGGUACUUACUUCUUAGAGGGACAAACGGCAUAAUCCGCACGAAAUUGAGCAAUAACAGGUCUGUGAUGCCCUUAGAUGUCCGGGGCCGCACGCGCGCUACAAUGACGAUGGCAACGAGUCUGACCUUCUGGCCCGAAAGGGUUGGACAAACUGGUCAAUCAUCGUCAUGACAGGGAUUGGGGCUUGUAAUUGUUCCCCAUGAACGAGGAAUUCCUAGUAAGUGCAAGUCAUAAGCUUGCGCUGAUUACGUCCCUGCCCUUUGUACACACCGCCCGUCGCUACUACCGAUUGAAUGGUUUAGUAAGGUCAUUGG